rnacentral:lncRNA from 1 species
CGCCACCAUUUUGGCAACCAGGAAGGGACCUCCAAAGCGGGAGAAAGCAUUUAUGGUGAGGAGAAAAGCAGCUGGUAUCACACUCUACCCAAGUCCCAAAAGCAGGUUCACAUAACUCCUGUCUUCAUUAUCUGAUAUCCGUAUGAAGAAUGUAAGAUAGAAAAAAACAUUAGCAUUUGAGAGGAUUGAAAGAGAAGCAUUCUCAGCAGAGCCAAGAUUCACUUAGAACAAAAGGUCUGCAGGUGUACCCAACAGCUCCGAAGAGACAGCGACCAUCAAGAACAGGCCAAGAUGACGAUGGCAGUUUUGUCGAAAAGAGAAGGGGGAAAUGUGGGGAAAAGCAAGAGAGAUCAGAUUGUUACUGUGUCUGUGUAGAAAGAAGUAGACAUAGGAGACUCCAUUUUCUUAUGUACUAGGAGAAAUUCUUCUGCCUUGAGAUUCUGUUAAUCUAUGACCUUACCUCCAACCCCGUGCUCUCUGAAACAUGUGCUGUGUCAACUCAGAGUUGAAUGGAUUAAGGGCAGUGCAAGAUGUGCUUUGUUAAACAGAUGCUUGAAGGCAGCAUGCUCCUUAAGAGUCAUCACCAGGACUUUCUUAUAAGCUAAUUAACAAAUUUGUACAUGGUUAACAAUUGUUUACAUUAAAUUCUAUUGGUAAAGUAAAAAAAAAAAAAAA